rnacentral:lncRNA from 8 species
AUGUUAUUAUUACGCACAGUCGGUGUCCCACAAAACAUGUUAUUAUUACGCACGGUCGGUGUCCCACAAAACAUGUUAUUAUUACGCACGGUCGGUGUCCCACAAAACAUGUUAUUAUUACCGGUGUCCCACAAAACAUGUCAUCAUUACGCACAGUCGGUGUCCCACAAAACAUGUUAUUAUUACGCACGGUCGGUGUCCCACAAAACAUGUUAUUAUUUCGCACGGUCGGUGUCCCACAAAACAUGUCAUCAUUACGCACGGUCGGUGUCCCACAAAACAUGUCAUCAUUACGCACAGUCGGUGUCCCACAAAACAUGUUAUUAUUACGCACGGUCGGUGUCCCACAAAACAUGUUAUUAUUACGCACGGUCGGUGUCCCACAAAACAUGUCAUCAUUACGCACGGUCGGUGUCCCACAACACAUGUAAUCAUUACGCACGGUCGGUGUCCCACAAAACAUGUUAUUAUUACGCACGGUCGGUGUCCCACAAAACAUGUCAUCAUUACGCACGGUCGGUGUCCCACAAAACAUGUCAUCAUUACGCACAGUCGGUGUCCCACAAAACAUGUUAUUAUUACGCACGGUCGGUGUCCCACAAAACAUGUUAUUAUUACGCACGGUCGGUGUCCCACAAAACAUGUUAUUAUUACGCACGGUCGGUGUCCCACAAAACAUGUCAUUACGCACGGUCGGUGUCCCACAAAACAUGUCAUCAUUACGCACGGUCGGUGUCCCACAAAACAUGUUAUUAUUACGCACGGUCGGUGUCCCACAAAACAUGUUAUUAUUACGCACGGUCGGUGUCCCACAAAACAUGUUAUUAUUACGCACGGUCGGUGUCCCACAAAACAUGUCAUCAUUACGCACGGUCGGUGUCCCACAAAACAUGUCAUCAUUACGCACAGUCGGUGUCCCACAAAACAUGUUAUUAUUACGCACGGUCGGUGUCCCACAAAACAUGUUAUUAUUACGCACGGUCGGUGUCCCACAAAACAUGUCAUCAUUACGCACGGUCGGUGUCCCACAACACAUGUAAUCAUUACGCACGGUCGGUGUCCCACAAAACAUGUCAUCAUUACGCACGGUCGGUGUCCCACAAAACAUGUCAUCAUUACGCACGGUCGGUGUCCCACAAAACAUGUUAUUAUUACGCACGGUCGGUGUCCCACAAAACAUGUCAUCAUUACGCACGGUCGGUGUCCCACAAAACAUGUCAUCAUUACGCACGGUCUGUGUCCCACAAAACAUGUCAUCAUUACGCACGGUCGGUGUCACACAAAACAUGUUAUUAUUACGCACGGUCGGUGUCCCACAAAACAUGUCAUCAUUACGCACGGUCGGUGUCCCACAAAACAUGUCAUCAUUACGCACGGUCGGUGUCACACAAAACAUGUUAUUAUUACGCACGGUCGGUGUCCCACAAAACAUGUCAUCAUUACGCACGGUCGGUGUCCCACAAAACAUGUUAUUAUUACGCACGGUCGGUGUCCCACAAAACAUGUCAUUAA